rnacentral:rRNA from 1 species
UACAGAGGGUGCGAGCGUUAAUCGGAAUUACUGGGCGUAAAGCGCACGUAGUCGGCUUUGCAAGUCGGUUGUGAAAUCCCCGGGCUCAACCUGGGAACUGCAUCCGAGACUGCAUUGCUAGAGUAUGGGAGAGGAAAGCGGAAUUUCUGGUGUAGCAGUGAAAUGCGUAGAUAUCGAGAGGAACACCUGCGGCGAAGGCGGGUUGCUGGGCCGACACUGACGCUGAGGCGCGAAAGCCAGGGGAGCGAACGGG